CUGGCGGUCAGCAGUUUCCGGUUUCAUAAUGGUGGACACGAAACAUCGCUUUUGUUUCGGGGUGAUUUGUGAAAAUUUACAGUGCGGUAAUAAUGCUUGUGUUAAUAAUUCUUACAAUAAAUAAUACGAAAGUGAUUUUUAGUAAUGUAGUGUGCCAAUAUAAUCUUUAAAGUCUCGUCAGAAGAGAACAGGGAAGUUUACUUGUAUCUGUUUUCUCGAUGGUGUAGCGUGGGAAUUGUGGCUUCUUGUUGGGCGUAUGAAACCUUUUCUCACACAAUCAUAUGACUGAUUGUACGUGAUAUGUUACUACCUUAAAAUUUAUAGACAAAGUAUAGUUCUGUUUUAAAUUAAUUGUGUGGUGUGCCACGUCGAAGGAUAUCAUUUUACGUGUAGUUGUACAAUGCCGCCCAUACAAGCUUCCAAUACGAAGAUCUGUGUUCAACCCGUGCGAUCGUAAUGGACGACAUAUUUAUGUUCAAAUAUUUAUUUGCUGGGACUACAGUGUCUUCCUACAUCAGAUCUGACUGACACAGAAUCUGCAGGAUAUUUCCGUCCGCAUCUAAGAUAUACCCGGUCAGUGAAGUUGCUGUCUGUGGACUGGAUACCCGAGGUUCGAUUCUUUUUUCACCGCCAGUCCGGUCCAGCCCUGUGACCCAUCCAGCCUCCAAUACAAUUGCAGUGUAUAAUUGCCAGGCCAAACAGAUGAACUGACAAACGUUGAUCCCCAGCGACAGACGCCUCUCUGAAUGAAAACCAAGUGUUGAAAAUUUCUGCCAGCUCUUGAAGAGAAGUUUGCGUUAAGCAAUUUAAAAUUAGCACAAGUGAACGCGAGACAAAGAGAGGAUGAAGGAGACAGAAGGGGAAUGUGGAAUGAGUCCAGUGGACGGAUACAAACUAAAGAACAUUGCCUUGAAUUUAG